rnacentral:lncRNA from 1 species
UGCACUUUUGUUUGUGUUUUAAUUAAGAGCUAACUAUUCCUCUUGAGAAAAGGUGAGAGGAGAGCAGUCAGCAAUCAUAGUCAAUUGCUGAAAAGUGAAUUCAACAUUUUGUCUAAUCUUGUUGGCCCAUGCAUUGCAUCCCAGAACUUGGGAAGGAGGACAUGAACAGAUUUCUGUGAGGACUGGAUCAUCAGCUCAGAGAACUGAAGUGAAGCAUGUCAGGUUUAACGAAGGUAAGGUUUUUAUAGUGAAUGUAAAUAUGGUAUAUAGUAGCUAGUCCUAUUACCCUAAAUAAGAGUAGAGAUUAAGCUCCUUUCCCACUGAGUCCAGACAAGGCAGCUCAACUAGCAGACAGGAAUCCAAAUGUAGACAACAGUGUGAAGCAGGCCUCCCUUCAGUUU